rnacentral:ncRNA from 2 species
AUAGUCAUGUCACCCUUGGCACGAGCGAUUGUCAGGGGUAGCUUUCUGCGCUUUUCAAAAAUCGGAAGAAAUUUGUACCUUUUGAGACGAAGGUUUGUAUACCGAGGAACGUGUUUAAGCGGAUACCGCAUCGCUCGGGGACGUCGUUCUCCUCGCGGUUCCGUGGCCUCA